UAGAGCCCCGCUAAUCCCGCCCCUUUCCUCUGGUUAAAAAGAAACCGCCACCACCAAAAAAAAAAAAAAAAAGCCUCUCCUCUGAUUUGAGGAGUUUUAGGAAUAACAAGUAGGAUAAGUUUGGUUUUGCGGGCGAAACACCCGGCCGGUUGAAUUUUUUAAGGGUCCUGUUGCCUGGUGACCGGAGGUGGGAUCCAGAGAAGACCCCCCCCAGACCGCUCUGAGGCGGGCUGAGGAAGCGGGUGCGGGCGCCCGCAGAGCCGGCAGAGGGGGGACCCCGGGGCCCGAGGAGUAGCCUGCCUUCAGCUUCUCCCGGCCAUCCUGGCAUCUCCGGCCGAGGCCUCUGCUUUGUGCCCUGCAGCCUGGCUUCCUGAGGCCUGGUAAGUUCUUGUAGCUGGUCUGUGCUUUAUUUCAGUAGUACUGUAUUGACUUGAUGGCUGCCU
rnacentral:lncRNA from 1 species